rnacentral:lncRNA from 1 species
CGGGGCUUCGUCCAUUUGAGGACCUCAGCUACAACCAAAGGCUUCCAAGCCUCGGGCCAUGGGCCUCGGUUAGAAGCAGCUCGGAUCUAACCCCACCUCGGUAAUAUGAGCCACCUCGGAAGGAAUGCCACGUGGAUCAGGAUCAGUGGGCCACCGGCCCAAGUGGGUAGGACAGGUGUGACAACACGCAACAAUAGUCCCCCAAGUCCAAGUAUAAUCAUUAAUGUAAUGCGUGGACUUUAGAGUAAAAAAAUUUUUUGAACCCCUAAAUAAUAGUCCACCAAGUUCAAGUAUAGAUAUUUAUAUCAUGAUUGAAGUUUAGAGAAGUUUUGAUGUAGGCUCAUGCUGAAGAACCGAGGUGGGUAGGGGAUCGAGUCUGCGAGGCUGAAGUGCUGAAUGGCGUACGGGGGCCGAGGUGGUGUGAAACCGAACCUGCGAGGCUUAAAUGCUGAAUGCCACGUGAAGAAGCCGAGGUGGUGUGAAACCGAACCUACGAGGCUUAAAUGCUGAAUGGCGCAUGAGGAAGAAGCCGAGGUGGUGUGAAACCGAACCUGCGAGGCUUAAAUGCUGAAUGCAACGUGAAGAAGCCGAGGUGGUGUGAAACCGAACCUACGAGGCUUAAAUGCUGAAUGGCGUACGAGGGGCCGAGGUGGUGUGAAACCGAACCUUCGAGGCUUAAAUGCUGAAUGCCACGUGAAGAAGCCGAGGUGGUGUGAAACCGAACCUACGAGGCUUAAAUGCUGAAUGGCGCAUGAGGAAGAAGCCGAGGUGGUGUGAAACCAAACCUGCGAGGCUUAAAUGCUGAAUGCAACGUGAAGAAGCCGAGGUGGUGUGAAACCGAACCUACGAGGCUUAAAUGCUAAAUGGCGCAUGAGGAAGAAGCCGAGGUGGUGUGAAACCGAACCUGCGAGGCUUAACUGCUGAAUGGCGUACGAGGGGCCGAGGUGGUGUGAAAUCGAACCUUCGAGGCUUAAAUGCUGAAUGCCACGUGAAGAAGCCGAGGUGGUGUGAAACCGAACCUACGAGGCUUAAAUGCUAAAUGGCGCAUGAGGAAAAAGCCGAGGUGGUGUGAAACCGAACCUGCGAGGCUUAAAUGCUGAAUGGCGCAUGAGGAAGAAGCCGAGGUGGUGUGAAACCGAACCUGCGAGGCUUAAAUGCUGAAUGGCGUAUGAGGAAGAAGCCGAGGUUGUGUGAAACCGAACCUGCGAGGCUUAAAUGCUGAAUGCAACGUGAAGAGCCGAGGUGGUGUGAAAACCGAACCUACGAGGCUUAAAUGCUGAAUGGCGUAUGAGGAACCGAGGUCUAAUGUAAUGAUUCUGCUUUGGUCUCUGUGCCAAUGAUUUGAUGUUUUGUGCUUGUUUUCGAUGAAAGGUAGCUGAACCGUUACGACUUCCAAUGAGCUGGCACCGACGAAUUUAAAGAUGCAAUUAUGAGGGCAGCCGUCGUUUCGAGAAGCAGACGCGCCGGAGAGGUGCGUGUGAAGUACGCAUAGAUAGGAGGCGUAGGAUUUCAAAGACUGUUUGAAUUCAACGCCUCGGAUUGGAUCUGGAACGGAGGGCUCGGAUUGACUGAGAUUUGAUCUGACGGGUGGGGUUUGCCUUGGAUCUUUAUAAAAGGCAAGAAAAUUCUACUUUCCAGAAAUUUUAAACACUUUGCAUUCUUAAACUCUCUCAAAUCUCCUAUUUUCCGGCGUUAAGGUUGUCUGUGAUUAGAUUCCGACCGGUCUCCGUUUGUGUUGAACAUUUUUAGGUAUUUUUUGCAUAAAAAACCGUUGUUAUUCUUUGUCCUCAAACGAUGGAGUCCACUUCGGGUAGGGAACUUGUCACUGUAGCGUCUUUAGACCACGGGGUAGGUCAUGGGGGGACGUCCGAGGUAGAUAGGUAUGCCAUGGCCGAGGAGGACGUGGAUUAUACCCAGGAGUGGGGGGCUUCUAGAGUGCCCUCAAAUAUGACGGGGAAGAGGUUGGGGGAGCUUAGGGAGAGGUACAGUGUGCCUCAUAACAUAGACAUGUUAGUCCCCGAACCGAACGAGCGGGCAUGCUAUCCGAGGCCCGGCUGCGUGGCCGUGAGUGAAUACCUGUUUAAAGCAGGUAUGCGUCUUCCUUUGCACCCCUUCUUUAGGGCGGUGCUUAGGAAAUUUAUGCUGUCGCCGACCCAGGUUUUGCCGAAUGGGUGGAGCCAGCUGGUCGGCUCUUACUUCCUGUGGAAGGAAGUUUCACUUGGGUAGGACAUGCCCCUUCAUGUCUUUAUGACCCUGUUCCAGCCCCGGGUAAUUGGGAAGGAGUUAAGGGGGUGGUACUACCUCACGCCUUGGGGGGCUCACGCACCCUUUGUGGUGGGACUUCCUUCCUCUAUCAAGGGGUGGAAGGAGUCCUGGUUCUGGGUGCGAGGUAAAUGGCAGGCAGUGGAGGGUGACAAAGCCCUGUCAUGCACAGUGCCGACCCAGUACUACGAAGCUCGUCAGUCUCCCCAUCUCUGCUUGUGUUUUGAAACCAGAGUAUUUACUCGUCUAACUGUUGAAGGUUCGUCUUUGCAGAUAGUAGUACGAGGUUCGAGCUCAGCAGGGAGGAAUUCGAGGUGAUAGAGGACAUUUACAAGAGACCUCUGAAGCUUCGGCACUUCGAUCACCUGAUUGAUAGAAGCAGAUACUUCUUGAACUUCGGGCUUAUGGCGUCCAGAGGUAUGAGGCUCCAACACUUGAUGUUUAAUUUUAAUGUUUCUGGAGGUAUGAGGGUUGAGCGCCUGUCCAAGGACUGCACUCCCAGGGCCUCGGAAGAGGCAGCUACUCAGAGGCCAGAGAAGCCCAAGGAGCCUCGGGGCAAGGAGAAAGUCUCUGAAGAGACUAAGAAGAGGAAGCUGGUGCACAUCUCCAGCUCAUCUGGCAAGUUUGGGACUUCAGUAUCCCAUAGGGCAAAACAAACUGGAGAGCCGAAGCUUCUCGCUGCAGCCUCUAAGGCCAUCAAAAUGGAGAUGGUAAGGGAGGUGGAGGCUGAAGAGGCCAGGGAAGAGGCUGCCAGGCGAGCUGCUGAAGCAGCCGAAAAGGAGGCGGCGAAGGAGAAGCCAGUUCGGGAGAAGGGGAAGUCUCCAAACUUCCUGGCUGGGAGGGAGGAUGAGCUGGCCCCAGCUUUGGUGGAGGCUCUCCCUGAGGAAAUUCGAGGUGCCACCGAGAGCUUUUACAAGUUCUGGACUGAGAGGUGGCAACUACAUGCCUCGUCUUGUGAUGCCACUGACCUCACGAGGGCACUGGUGAGCCAAAGCGCCCGGACCUUUGGCCUCGCGUUAGAAUGCAGGGAGGCAUUAAGUGAAUUCCAAACAAGGACUCACGCCUCGGAGGGGAAAGCUGCUUCGCUCGUUGAGGAGGUCAAAGCUGCUAAGGCCGAGGCCGAAGAAAUCAAAGCACAGAGAGCUGAAGAAGCGGUGAAGCUCGAGUCCGCCCUGACCCAAAUUGAAGCCCUAAAGAGGGAAGUAUAUGAGUCUCAGUGCGAGGUGGCCUCCCUGACGAAGAAGGUGGAGGUCUCCAAUGAGCACCAAAAGGUGACUGCCGAGGCUCUGGAGCAGGCGAAUCUCGCCUUGGCCGGCGCUCGUGAUGCCAAUCAGUUUCUCGAAGGCCAGGCGAAGUGGUACAUGAACGACGCCUUGGUUGCCAGAGAAGAGGCCCGGACUGCAGCGGAAGAGGCGGUGAGGGCAUACAUCGCCAAUUUCCACACUACCGAGGAGUAUAAAAGCUUCAGUGCGUAUUGGAGAAACUUCGUCUAUGCCGAAGUGCUGGAGAGGGCAGAGGAGCUUUAUCCAAACUUGGACCUGGCACAACUUAGGUCCGAAUUUGUGGAUGAGGUUCCUCAGACCCCAGCUGAGGAGGUGCAGGGGGACGAGGCAGCUGAUGCCGAAGCCCAAAAUGCUGAGGCAGCGGAAGCAACCACUGAUGCCCAUGUUGCCGAACCCCCAAGUGCUGAGGCUCUGCCUUCAUCCAGCCAGGCUUAGAUUAGGUUUUCCUUUUCAGUACUUUUGUAUAAUGGCCGGAGGCCCUCCGUUGUAAUCCUUUUUAAAUAUUAAUAUAAUGUUUUUCUUCAUUCAUGAUUGUUCUUUUCCCAAGUUUUGCCUCGUUUAAACAAACGAACUGGAAGUUUGAUGAGCGCACGAACUAAAUAACUGUAUGGGCUUCAGACUUAAGCAAAUGAACAUAACUUAAGAAAAUGAACAUAACUUAAGGAGAUCUGUUGGAGCCUCGGACUUAAGAAAAUGAACAUAACUUAAGGAGAUCUGUUGGAGCCUCGGACUUAAGAAAAUGAACAUAACUUAAGGAGAUCUGUUGGAGCCUCGGACUUAAGAAAAUGAACAUAACUUAAGGAGAUCUGUUGGAGCCUCGGACUUAAGGUUGAGGCUUCUCCCC